UGGGUUUGGGCCACCUCCGAGAAACCAUACAAUAGGCAGAUCACCUCUUUUAUUAUAAUAGAUAGACAAUAUUUGCGGAUUACAAUAAAUGUCUUCAGCCAAGCUGACAUUAAAAAUGCACAUGUAAUGUCAUGUACUAGUUGAUACAUGUGGUAAUUUAAUGAAGGAUUGGAAAUAUACAUUUUUAUUUUACAAUAGAAGAAUCCUUAAUCAAUUCUUUGUGCUUUCCAAUCUGAAAGUAAUCAUUUGAUAUAAUGUGCAUCAUGAAGUCAACACCAAAAAAGAUUAAAUGGCUGAUAGAUUCCUUCGUUAUUUUUCACACAGAUAACAUCUGCUGCAAAUAUAAAGUCCUCUUCUGUGCCAAUUAUCUUGGCUAAGACAUGCUGCCUCGAUAACAUUUCACACAAAGCAGAGCAUUUUGGUGUGUUGUUUUCGUCGUCCGUGUUAUCUUCUAAGACCACUUGUUGUCCCAGUUACUAUCUAGAUUUUGGAGAAGAUUGUAGCAACAUUGGACGCCCUAUACAGUAAAUAUAUCAUAAUCAGAGUUACUGGUGUAUAAACUCCACUACUUUUUUACUUUGUUGAAUAAUUCUAUUAAAGAUUUAUUUAUCCGCAAUCACCUUUGAGGUUGUUGUACAUAGCAAGAUUAAGGUUGUCCUACAAUGUAUAUUUGAUUACCGUGACUGUUUUCAUAGUCAAUGUCCUAAUUAAGUUGGUACCAUCCGCACAUACGAAUGGAGAAGAGAAAAUGUUAAACAAAAAAAGAAAAACAAGACAAUGAUGAUAAAGACGAUGAACGAAAUUCAAAGUGGCUGCAAAAGUAUGAAAGGUGCAUGUUCCCGGUCAUUAAAGCUUCUCUUAAACUAUACAUGUCAUUCAGGAUUGACAAAACAAUCACUAAAUUUAAGCAUUUUUGUUCAGGGUUGAACUACAGAGAGUAGGGCAUUCAUCUGUUAAUAUCCUUGUUUUAAUCCAACUAUGUGUGCAAAAUUUUAUCUUCCUUUAAUCCCCAUCUUCAACAUGAUACUGUUAUAUUACGUUGUUUAGCUGCACUGCUAAAACAUAAAAUUAUAGGAAGCAUGUAAAUUUUACAUAGCACAUCCUUCCUUAGAUUUAACAGGAGGUGUAUAUAAAAGAAUGAAAGAUUUGCCAUAAAUUAGAGGUAAAGGUUAUGCACUAACCAUUCAUAUAAGGUGAGGGUAAACCUAAUAAUUAGGACAAAGACUUCAGAGAGAAGUGAAAAGAUAUUUUUAGUAAUGGUAAGAUCAAAUUGGUCAUAUAGAUAUGAAUUUGAACAGAUAGGAGCUCAAAAUGACUCGUAAAGAAACAGUAAAAUGAAAGUUGUAAACUGAAAACUCAUACUUAUCGUUGGACAGACGCGUCGUGUCCUAAUAAAAGUCCUAUUGACGCUAUUAAGGGAGAGUUAAUAACCUCUACUUCACAGUGCUUGAAGAACUUUACUGACUGCACAUGAAUCUCCUGUGUUUUCUUUCAUAUUUCACGGCUUAAAAAACCAAAGAGGAGAAAAAUAAAAGUUAAUUCAGUCGCUCUAACCAACGCGUACCAUCUAUGCACUCCAAAUUAACAAGGCACCACAAAUUAAAUUAAACUAAAUCAGUCAGUUAGCUAAUAAGUGUUAAAUUUUAUUGCAAAUAUUCACUGUUGCCUAAUGGAAUGAGAGACGAAAAGCUACGAGCAACUAAAUACACAUUCAAAGUGUUUAGUUUCCUACAGUUGUGUAAUAUUUUUAUGCAACAUAUAAAGUUUACAAAUAUACAUUAUUGUACUCAAAUAGUUAUGCGCACAACGUCCAUUCUCAUACCCAAGUUAUACUCCUUUCAAUUUUGUAUUCACUGCCUUAUACAUCUAUAUCGGUUGUUCUGCAUUUUCAAGAAUAUAUGGCACGAUUACAUAGUUUGUUAACUGCUAGAAAGGACAUAAAAUGAUCGACUACUUGUACUUUUGGUAUAUAUAACAGUAGAAAAAUUUGGUGAACUUAUCAGACAGUAAACAUCCUAUUCAUUUGAAAACUUAUUCCUACAAAAUAGCCAGAAUUAAAAUAGCAAAUAGCAAAAAUAGAAAUAUAAAAAGGUAGCUUUCAUGAAAGCCAUUCAAAAUUUUGAGACCUCUUUCAGCAGAGUAUCACGAAAAUACCAAGUAAUUGAUGUAACAUCUGUGCAAAUAUGAUUCAUGAUUCGAGCUAUUAGCACAAUAAUUUAAUCCCUUCAUCACAAUCAAUUCCUAUCUUUUCCCUUUAUGAAUAUGUACUACUAUUUUUAUUGUCACUAAUAAAGUAUGGAAAAGAAAAAUAUUGAAUACUCUUCAAAUCCAGAAGCAAAUUGGAGUUUGAUGAUUCUUUUUUUUGCAUGUGCCAUUUUACUUACACAUAGGGUACACACAUAUUGACUCUUCUAAUAAAAAAUUCACAUAUAAAUGGAAUGGAAUUAUGCCAUUUGACUUACACAUAGGGUACACACAUAUUAACUCUUCUAAUGCAUAAUUUCACAUACAAAAUGGAAUGAAAUUAGGAUUAGCUGCAAAAAGAAGGAAAGAGCAAGGGUAAAGAAAUAGAAUUUAGAAUGAACAAGAGAAAUAUGGGCCAUACCUUGUAAAUGAGAACAUGAAAGAGAUUUGAAUAACCAGGGAGCAAGUAUGUGCAGAACUAUCUAUCCAACAGAGUAAAAGCAGCAGCGCAAGAACUAAUCCAUUAUACGACAGCUUCAGUUGAAGACAUGCCCCUCCCUUCUCUCUUGAAACUGCAGCAGCUCUGUAAGCCACCACAUUAGUUCAUGACAAAAUCAACUCUGAGUAGACAGAAGGAAGAAUUAAAAUCUAUCAGUUGCAAAAUGAUCAUCAUGUUCAAUUUCCAAAACAUGAAAGAAACAAUGCAUAAAAUAUUACACUUACUUGAUUGAGAAUUUAGGGAGGCUCUAUGUACGUGAGCAGAAUGACUCUAGUACCAGCCAUUUCAGCAAACGUAACAUAGGAGGCAGCAAUGUAGGAAACAUAAACUUUAUAAAACUAAGUAAACCACUUAAUGCAAUAAAGUAGCACUAAAAUUGGCUCUAUUCCCUAAUAUCCAAAAUAUUUUAUUCUUCCUCCUAUUCUGUGGACAUAACUUGUAGACUUCAACAAAGUUUCCCUGGACAAUCCAGAAUGAAAGAGAAUUCUCUUUUCGUAGUUUAUGAACCUUUCAGUUUUAUGUUUAAAAAAUCAAUUUUGAAGUGUUUGAAUUAGUCAUCAGCUGAUUUUGCAACCAAAUAAUGAAAUCAGAGAAAAAGGCAGGAGUGUGCAUAAGAAAUCUAAUCCAACCUGAUUCAUUGAAUAAUUUUAUCAAACACCUAGCGAACAAAAUUUAGGAAUACCUAAUAUAUUCUCAACGACGGAAAUAUAUUAUAUCAAUACAAGAAGCGUAUGAUGACAAAAAGAACACACAGCAAAUUAAAAAUAACAAUAGACAGAGAAUAGGAGUUAGAAGAAUACACGGCAGAAAAUAACAAUGGACAGAGCGGAGGAGUGAUAGAGCAGAGGUAUGAAGAGGAGCUGUUUGCAGGAAUGUAGGAUUUGACAAGAGAUAUUGUCAAAAUAGCAUGGUAUAGCCAGUUUUCGCACUGUUCAAUCAAAAAUAGCUAAG
rnacentral:lncRNA from 1 species